GGGAGUUUAGCUCAGUUGGGAGAGCAUCUGCCUUACAAGCAGAGGGUCGGCGGUUCGAGCCCGUCAACUCCCACCA
rnacentral:tRNA from 2 species